GAGGGUAUAGCUCAGUGGUAGAGCUUGCACUUAGCAUGCACAAGGUCCUGGGUUCAAUCCCCAGCACCUCCA
rnacentral:tRNA from 1 species